AGCUAUGGCACAAAGCAAGUAUGAAUAUGUCAAGGGAUUUGAGAGCGACGAUGCGCUGCCUUCCGGCAACUGGAUCGUCGUCCGGAUCCAAGGCCGGGAUUUCAAGGAGCUUCUCAAGGGUCAUGGCGUUGAGAGGGAUGAUUCCCGAGCUCUAGCGCUCGUGGAGGAUUGUUUGAAGACACUGCUGUGGAAUUUCUUCGACAUUGUUUGUGCGUAUGGAGUCAUCUAUGAAUCAAGCUUUGUUUUCCACGAGAGUACCUCCUUCUUCAGACGACGAGAAAGCAAGCUCGUAUCGGUGCUUGUAUCAUCCUUUACAUCGCUAUACGUGAGGAGCUGGCCCUCGUUUUUCCCAGAGACAAAUCUCUUGAGUACGCCUGUGUUCUCUGGAGCUGCGUAUUGCUAUCCGAAGAAUUCACUGGUGAGAUCCUACUUAUCUUCGCUGCAGGAAAACUGGAUAUCUGGUCUUCAGGCUAGUAACGAUCAAAUGGGAGCUUUCGUCUUCAAACGAAAGGUUGGAGAACAGGUUGAUGUCUGUAGUAUGCGUGGCGAAAUUACGUCCGAUGCGUUCUGGAUGGAGCAUUCUUUCAUUCUAGAGAAGAAAAAAAGUAAAAGAAGCAUUAUCAAAGCCAGGCAAAGAGGUGUUGAGCAGAGUCCGACCAUGGUUGAAAGAGAUCCUAUGAAAGUUGACUUCGUGGUUACGACAGGGCAGUUUUUGCAAGCCAACUGGAUCGUUGUUCGAAUUGAUGGUCGCGGUUUUAAAAAAUUUGCUGAUCUUCAUGGGUUUCAGAAGCCAAACGACGAACGAGCUUUGCAGCUAAUGGACGAGUGUGCAAAAGCAAUUCUAGAAGAAAACACAGACAUCGUUUGCGCCUAUGGCAUCAGCGACGAGUACAGUUUCUUGAUUCGAAGGGGUGCACAUCAACAAGCAAGCAACGAGCUCAUUUCCGCGACUGUUUCGCUAUUCACAUCAAAGUAUGUAAUGCUGUGGCCCAAGUUUUUUCACGACAGGGAGCUUGAAUGUGCUCCGGCCUUUGAUGCAAGAGCAGUGUGUUACCCCACAGAAACAACAGUUAGAGAUUACUUGGCUUGGCGCCAAGUGGACUGUCAUAUUAACAACGUGAACAAUACGUGCUUUUGGAAGUUGCGAGAGCAGGGGUUGAAUCCGAGCAAUGCGCACAAGACACUCAUGGGAACAAGGUCGAGCGAGAAGAAAGAACUUCUAAGUAACGACUUUCGGAUAGAUUACAAUGCGUUGCCGGCAAAGUAUCGCAAGGGAUCCCUUCUUGUACGAAAGCCUGACCAAACCAUCUUCCACUACCAUGACUUCGACGUUAUUGGCGAUGAUUUCUGGAAGGAGCACUCUUACAUUCUCCAAAAGUGAAUUGCAAUGAUCUCUGCGCAUGCUUGAGAAUUAAUACGAGAGCUACGAAUGGAUUGCAGCAGCACUGCUAAAGAGGACCUGGUGCUUCGUACAAAAGGCAUUUGAGUAGUGUUCAAAAGCUCGAUGAAGCCCGAAGGGCGUUCAAAAGAAUGCCACAGUUCAGCAUGGAGGCUUCCAUUUCAAUGUCCAUCGCCUGCGUCAACAAAGGGAAGCUCCAGUCCGCCCAGCAAGUCUUCGAAAGUGCCACCACAUCCUGGACUCGCAGCAUUUGCACGGAGCGGGCAUCUCCUCGAGGCCAAGCUUAGAUAUGGGAGAGCAAGGGGCUGUGAUGAAAGUAAGCCUCAACCAAGCGCUUUGUACGGGCUGCCACGGCCGAGUGCUACGUGAAGAAAGUCGAUUGAUCCAAGCCUUUGGAGUGGAAGCCGGGGACUUCGACUCCGGCAGAUGGUUUUCGCUCUCGGAGCUCUGGAACAGCUUGGACAUUCUCAUGGCUUUACGAACGACGUAGCAAACGACGAGACGGGCCGGAAUCCAUCCAUGUCCAUGAGCUCGAACUGCCUCAACGCUUGAGCCAGUGUACUCGGAGAUCAUCGACUGCUCGACCAGAAUCCUCGACUCCCCGACGCUCUUGAGCGCUCGGGUAUGGCGUCAAACACCACCUUUUCAAACUCCAGCUUGCCGACGGCAGGAAAGUUGAAGUAAGGCUCUUCUAGGCCUCUCAUCCCCGCGUUUUGGGGUGGCGACCAUGCACCGAGCCCGAGAGACCGAUCCAGUCGACAUUGCUUUUGCACUCGAUCUUGGGACCGAGUUAUGAGCUGGAUCUGCACGAGAGCCACUAAUAUCGAAGAAAGAACAGCAAAAACUGAAAGGAGGCCGUUCUUACUUUUGGUGGACGAUAAAACUUUACAAGCUCUCACAAAAGCUGGAAGAUCUUUGACGCAUCGUCACUUCUUGUCUACUGAGCCUUGCACGAACUGGGUGAUGAUAUUGUUGAAAGCAUCCUACACAAAAUACACCUAUAACUGGGGAAUUCUUGGAUGAUUAUUAUGGUGACGAAAUAUUUAUAGAGUGGCUGAAAAUCUCAAAAAAAAAUAUAAUAACAUAUAUUUCGGGAA